AGAGUUUGAUCCUGGCUCAGAUUGAACGCUGGCGGCAUGCCUUACACAUGCAAGUCGAACGGUAACAGGUCUUCGGACGCUGACGAGUGGCGAACGGGUGAGUAAUACAUCGGAACGUGCCCAGUCGUGGGGGAUAACUACUCGAAAGAGUAGCUAAUACCGCAUACGAUCUGAGGAUGAAAGCGGGGGACCUUCGGGCCUCGCGCGAUUGGAGCGGCCGAUGGCAGAUUAGGUAGUUGGUGGGAUAAAAGCUUACCAAGCCGACGAUCUGUAGCUGGUCUGAGAGGACGACCAGCCACACUGGGACUGAGACACGGCCCAGACUCCUACGGGAGGCAGCAGUGGGGAAUUUUGGACAAUGGGCGAAAGCCUGAUCCAGCAAUGCCGCGUGCAGGAUGAAGGCCUUCGGGUUGUAAACUGCUUUUGUACGGAAACGAAAAAGCUCCUUCUAAUACAGGGGGCCCAUGACGGUACCGUAAGAAUAAGCACCGGCUAACUACGUG
rnacentral:rRNA from 1 species